rnacentral:rRNA from 1 species
AUUGAACGCUGGCGGAAUGCUUUACACAUGCAAGUCGAACGGCAGCACGGACUUCGGUCUGGUGGCGAGUGGCGAACGGGUGAGUAAUAUAUCGGAACGUAUCCAAUAAUGGGGGAUAACUAAUCGAAAGGUUGGCUAAUACCGCAUACGUCCUACGGGAGAAAGCUAGGGACCUUCGGGCCUGGCGUUAAUGGCGCGGCCGAUAUCUGAUUAGCUAGUUGGUGAGGGAAAGGCUUACCAAGGCGACGAUCAGUAGCUGGUCUGAGAGGACGACCAGCUACACUGGAACUGAGACACGGUCCAGACUCCUACGGGAGGCAGCAGUGGGGAAUUUUGGACAAUGAGCGCAAGCCUGAUCCAGCCAUUCCGCGUGAGUGAAGAAGGCCUUCGGGUUGUAAAGCUCUUUCGCAAGGGAAGAAAACUUAGUUACUAAUAUUAACUGAGGUUGACGGUACCUUAAUAAGAAGCACCGGCUAACUACGUGCCAGCCGCCGCAGUAAGAC